rnacentral:lncRNA from 10 species
CCUGCACUGCCUGCAGCUUCUGUUGCACCUGGGGCAGAGCUACGCUUGGCUGCUGACACCUAUGAGAAGGCAGGCAUGGUGGACCUUCCGCAAAGGUGAAGGCCUGAAUAGAACAAAAAGGCUCACCGUCCCAUGAAUAGAGAGAACUCCUCCUGCCUGACUGCUGUGAGCUGGGACAUCCAUUGUUUUCUGUUUUUUGGAUUUGAACUGAAACAUCAGCUCUUCCUUGAUCCUGAACCUGCUGGCUUUCUGACCGGAACUUG